GAUGAACGCUGGCGGCGUGCCUAAUACAUGCAAGUCGAGCGAACGGACGAGAAGCUUGCUUCUCUGAUGUUAGCGGCGGACGGGUGAGUAACACGUGGAUAACCUACCUAUAAGACUGGGAUAACUUCGGGAAACCGGAGCUAAUACCGGAUAAUAUUUUGAACCGCAUGGUUCAAAAGUGAAAGACGGUCUUGCUGUCACUUAUAGAUGGAUCCGCGCUGCAUUAGCUAGUUGGUAAGGUAACGGCUUACCAAGGCAACGAUGCAUAGCCGACCUGAGAGGAUGAUCGGCCACACUGGAACUGAGACACGGUCCAGACUCCUACGGGAGGCAGCAGUAGGGAAUAUUCCGCAAUGGGCGAAAGCCUGACGGAGCAACGCCGCGUGAGUGAUGAAGGUCUUCGGAUCGUAAAACUCUGUUAUUAGGGAAGAACAUAUGUGUAAGUAACUGUGCACAUCUUGACGGUACCUAAUCAGAAAGCCACGGCUAACUACGUG
rnacentral:rRNA from 1 species